GACAUCGGGGGAAGGCUUUAGACUUCCUCAGAACAUGGCUUCUAAUCCCCAGAACCCUCUAGAGCUGAGGGUCAAGGCCAACUGAGCAUGCUGAGCUCCCACCUUUCUCUUCCCAGUAGGAAGCCCAGGGACCUUGGCUCUGAAAGUAUCAACCGAGGCCAGAGGCGAAGCAAGGCAGGUCCCAGCCAUGGCCGCCACACCACAGCUUGUCCCCCUCAUUGCUGUGCAUUCCUUCAGCACUUGGAGCGCAGUUUUAGUUUGCACUCCGUUAAUUUGUAAGUGUUCUUUUGUCUUUUUUCCUUGGCUGUCCUGACUCCCUCACCCAACAGGGGCUCCCCAAGGGUGGGGGCUGCCUUCCUUGUCAGCCUCCUCAGCGGAAGCCCUGCACUAGUGCCCCUGCACCCAAAGGCUAUAGGGUGCGUGGCACGGACCCUGCAAAGAGCAAAAGAGCUGCUGGAUGGUGCAAAAUGCAAAGCCCCAACAAACAAGGUGAUGAAGGGGCAGUGUCCUCAUUUUCCAGGUGGGAAACUGAGGCUGAGGGAGGCUCCACAGCCACAUCAGACUGGCAGAAAGAGGUGGAGCAGGAACCUAGAUUUUGUUUUCCUACCAGAGCCUCAGCUCACUCUGCUACACUGCCCUGCCUCCCUACCACACAGUCCUGCACUUCCAGAGUACAUGUGAGAUUAGCAAGCCUUCAAGGCACAAACUGGGUCUUAUUCAUCUUCAUCUUCCUGGGGGAACCCGGGCUGAACUUUUCUUCUCCCCAGGGACCCUCCAAAGAACUUCAGGGAAGGACCAGUGAAACAUGAGGCUGCCAGGAGCACCAAACUCUGACCUCUCAUCACCUUAUCAGAGGGGCUCCUUUGGAGCCUGAGAUGUGAGAGUAUGUGGCACCCAGACACUAGGCAGGUCCCAGGCUGGACGGGUUCAGUCCCAGAAUAAUCAACCCACUUGCCAUGGAUACGGAAGGGGGGAAGGGAAGGGCACGGUCUCUGGCUAGGGCUCCACCCCCAGGCCUGUGCCCACGGACCUAAGUGAGGACAGGCAUUUUUGUUUUCCUGCCCAAAUGUUGCAUUUCCCAAGACCACCCUGGCCUGCCACACCCCCUGAUCCUGUACCUAAAAAUCCCUGAGACCCUAGCAGGCAAACACACAGGCAGCUGGACAUCCAGAGGAGCACAUCAGUGGAGGAACACACAAGCGGCUGGACAGCAAGAGGACGUUGAGGGGAGCACGCUGGCGGAAGGGCACAUUGACAGACGCCGGCAGGCCACCCACGGGCAGAAUGAUGCGGAGUUUGGCUGGGGCAGUCGGAGGAGAGCCUGGGCCACCAAGCAGCCCGACUCCAGAGGAAAACCAAUCUCCCUUCUGGCUCCCCUAUCUGCUGAGAGCUACUUCCACUCAAUGAAACCUUGCACUCAUUCUCCAAGCCCACGUGUGAUCCGAUUCUUCCAGUACACCAAGGCAAGAACCCCGGGAUACAGAAAGCCCUCUGUCCUCGCGAUAAGGCAGGGGUCUAACUGAGCUGACUAAUACAAGCCACCUAUGGAUGGCUAAACUAAAAAAGUACCCUGUAACAUACACCCACUGGGGCAUCAGCUAUAAACAUUCACCCCUAGACACUGCCGUGGGGUCGGAGCCCCACAGCCUGCCCAUCUGUAUGCUCCCCUAGAGGUUUGAGCGGCAGAGCCCGGAAGAAGCAAGCCACAUCCCCAUCGCACUCCCUUUGAGGGGGACAAGGAAACUUUUCCUGUUUCACCAUGACUCCCAAAGCCAAGUUUAAGCCCCCAAGUUAAUGGGACACUAACCAUCAUUCCACUUUCUGCAAACAUCUCUGCCAACUGGGAAGGCAUCACAGAGCAUGUUUUUCCCCAGCAAAUUCUUGCAGGACAGGUCCCUGGAUGAGCAUGGCUGACCCAGCUUCACACCCCGCCCCCCGCCUUCUUGUAGUUCUCAGGAUAGCUGUAGGAUGUGUUGGGAAUGCAACAUCUUGAGAUAAGGAGGGCCUGUCUGAGACAGCCUGGGCUCAUGUUCCUACCUCUUCUGGAACAGGAUGUCCUGCAACACUUUAGCACAGUAAGCUGAUGUCCCCCAGGGUGGAAACCCCAGGGUGGAGCGCUCCCAGGCUCCCUCAGUUGCAGUGUGAUGUGGUACGUGGGUGGACGAGACUCCAUCCUCCCUGGGCAGCUUUCUCGAGCCAUGGGGCACCAGCUUGCCUUGAGUGGUAGGCGUCCAUUGUCCCCGAGGCCUAUCUGUGAGUAAUAAAGUUGCUUCGCUUGA
rnacentral:lncRNA from 1 species